rnacentral:rRNA from 1 species
GUUGACCGGAUUUAUNGGGCGUAAAGCGAGCGCAGGCGGUUAGAUAAGUNUGAAGUUAAAGGCUGUGGCUUAACCAUAGUACGCUUUGGAAACUGUUUAACUUGAGUGCAGAAGGGGAGAGUGGAAUUCCAUGUGUAGCGGUGAAAUGCGUAGAUAUAUGGAGGAACACCGGUGGCGAAAGCGGCUCUCUGGUCUGUAACUGACGCUGAGGCUCGAAAGCGUGNGGAGCAAACAGGAUUAGAUACCCUGGUAGUCCACGCCGUAAACGAUGAGUGCUAGGUGUUGGGUCCUUUCCGGGACUCAGUGCCGCAGCUAACGCAUUAAGCACUCCGCCUGGGGAGUACGACCGCAAGGUUGAAACUCAAAGGAAUUGACGGGGGCCCGCGCAAGCGGUGGAGCAUGUGGUUUAAUUCGAAGCAACGCGAAGAACCUUACCAGGUCUUGACAUCCCGGUGCCCGUCCUAGAGAUAGGAUUUUGCUUCGGCACACCGGUGACAGGUGGUGCAUGGUUGUCGUCAGCUCGUGUCGUGAGAUGUUGGGUUAAGUCCCGCAACGAGCGCAACCCUUAUUGUUAGUUGCCAUCAUUAAGUUGGGCACUCUAGCGAGACUGCCGGUAAUAAACCGGAGGAAGGUGGGGAUGACGUCAAAUCAUCAUGCCCCUUAUGACCUGGGCUACACACGUGCUACAAUGGCUGGUACGACGAGUCGCAAGUCGGUGACGGCAAGCUAAUCUCUUAAAGCCAGUCUCAGUUCGGAUUGUAGGCUGCAACUCGCCUACAUGAAGUCGGAAUCGCUAGUAAUCGCGGAUCAGCACGCCGCGGUGAAUACGUUCCCGGGCCUUGUACACACCGCCCGUCACACCACGAGAGUUUGUAACACCCGAAGUCGGUGAGGUANCCUUUUAGGAGCCA